AGGACGAACGCUGGCGGCGUGCUUAACACAUGCAAGUCGAACGAGGUGCUUUGCACCUAGUGGCGAACGGGUGAGUAACACGUGAGCAACCUGCCUUUGGCUCUGGGAUAGCCUCCGGAAACGGGGAGUUAAUACCGGACAUGACCUGUGACGGCAUCUUCACGGGUGGAAAGUUUUUCGGCCAAAGAGGGGCUCGCGGCCUAGUCAGCUUGUUGGAGGGGUAACGGCCCGACCAAGGCGACGACGGGUAG
rnacentral:rRNA from 1 species